rnacentral:rRNA from 1 species
CUACGGGCCGCUGCAGUGGGGAAUAUUGCACAAUGGAGGAAACUCUGAUGCAGCAACGCCGCGUGGAGGAUGACACUUUUCGGAGCGUAAACUCCUUUUAUAUAGGAAGAAGAUGACGGUACUAUAUGAAUAAGCGCCGGCUAACUCCGUGCCAGCGGCCGCGGUAAUACGGAGGGCGCAAGCGUUACUCGGAAUCACUGGGCGUAAAGAGCGUGUAGGCGGAUUAAAAAGUCAGAGGUGAAAUCCUAUAGCUUAACUAUAGAACUGCUUCUGAAACUCUUAAUCUAGAAUAUGGGAGAGGUAGAUGGAAUUUCUGGUGUAGGGGUAAAAUCCGUAGAGAUCAGAAGGAAUACCGAUUGCGAAGGCGAUCUACUAGAACAUUAUUGACGCUGAGACGCGAAAGCGUGGGGAGCAAACAGGAUUAGAUACCCUCGUAGUC